CAGGGCCCCACUAGUCUUCCAUUGUCCACCACAGCUUUUUCCCAGGAUUCCAGCUGAGCCACCUCCUUCCUACUUUCACAUUCUUCCCAGGCCUCUUCUGCCCUUUGGUACCAGCUCCCUGAGUCCCAGCCUGGUUAGUUCUCAGACUCCUGAGGACCCACCCCCAUGAGGACCUUGCCUCCCCAGGACCUCAACUUCCUGAGGGCACCCUGUGAGCUCUGCUCCAAGUCCUGACUCUGCUUGGCUAAGUUCCUUCUCUGUCCAUAGGUUUGUUUUGCACAUUCUUCCUAAGUGUUUCUCCUCUGAGAUGGAAGCAGCUCUUAGGGCCUACCACAGAGAAUGUUAAGACAUAUUCUUUGAAUGAGUGAAGAUUCUUCUGCCUGACUGCUGCCUCCUUCAUAUUUUGCCUCACUUUCUCGCUGGAGAUUCUGGAAGUCUCUGUGUUACAUCUUAUGGAGGACAUUGGUGCGGACUUUGAAGAUGAACAGGUCCAGUUUGAUAAGGUGGUCCCCAACACCAGGGAAGAUUUGAGGGGCUUCUACUGCAGGCUGAAGGAGCUUAAUAUUUUUACAGCUGCUGAAGGUGGUUAUGAAGGCCCUGCUCCUUUGUCCCUCCUACUCUCUGUUCACAGCACCCUUGUGGUCCUAGGUGGGUAAAGGGAAGGGGUGGACUGUACAUUCUUGGCCAUCAGUACAGUUGAAUGGAUGAUGCAAAAUGAGGAGAAGUGAGGGCAAAAUAACAUCUAAUCUUGGGUAGUA
rnacentral:lncRNA from 12 species